UGAGAUAAAAAAAUUGUAUAAAAUGGAGCCAAUUACUCGUUCGUUUAACUCAAUUGUUAUCUAAAUCGUGCCAAGAUCGUACGUAUUACGUGUCGUGUUUGACUUCUUCAAGAAUUUUUUUUAGUGAUCGAACAUAUUUUGUUGACGGUUGUGGAAUUCGAUUUUUUGCGAAAGAAAAUCUCGUAUUGAAUCAUCGUAGACGAAUUAUUUUUGAAUUUUUAAUCUCGUCUUUCAAUUGCUGGAAUAUUUGGAUUCAUUUUUCCCCGAAAUUGAAACAUGAAUUUCAAGCUGUUAUUCUUCGUUUUUGGAAUCGUAAUGCUAUUUGCGUCGUCGCCGAUAUUAGCCGACGACGAUGGACUUUCAAAAUACAAGACUAAAGCGGAAUGCGAUACGAUGUGCAAAAGAGAAUGCGAUGCUAAAGACAUGUACUAUUGGGAAUGUUCACGUACUUUGGACCGUAUGUACGAAUGUGAUUGCCCGGAAUUCUGGUGAAGUUGAUUUGUAGUCUCAGUAUCAUGUCCAUGGAUUUUGUAGAUCAGGUUAUAUUGUUGCUGAAUUUUGAAUUUUUAUAUUGUGUAUGUGGUAUGUGCUCGUGGAUAUACUGAUUAAAGAAAAUGUCAAACUGUU